AUAAUCCAUGACCUUCGGGACCUUUAAGUACCGAACACAGGACACACUUCCCUGUAUUGUGUGGUUGGAGGGACUCCUGACAUUGGCAAACGCCUCUGUCCAGAGGAGGCUGUUUUGUGUCCUCUGUGGAAAUUUCCUCUGGUCUUCACACUGCCUGUGGCUGGCUGGUUGGAUCACGCCCUCAGUUGCUUUGUGAACCAUUGCAGCCCAUCCGCACUGAGGAUUUUGGGGGUGAAGGAAGGCGACUGUGUCCGCAGUGGAACAACAAACAUCUUGGCCCACACACACUACUUCUAAAGGGAUGGCAGAGAAGAAAACUGAG